rnacentral:rRNA from 1 species
UACGUAGGGGGCAAGCGUUGUCCGGAUUUAUUGGGCGUAAAGAGCUCGUAGGCGGCCUGUUGCGUCCGCUGUGAAAGCCCGGGGCUUAACCCCGGGUCUGCAGUGGAUACGGGCAGGCUAGAGGUAGGUAGGGGAGAAUGGAAUUCCCAGUGUAGAGGUGAAAUUCGUAGAUAUUGGGAAGAACACCGGUGGCGAAGGCGGCGACCUGGUCCGAUACUGACGCUGAGGCGCGAAAGCG